rnacentral:rRNA from 1 species
UACGUAGGGGGCUAGCGUUGUCCGGAAUCAUUGGGCGUAAAGCGCGUGUAGGCGGUCCGGUAAGUCCGUUGUGAAAGUCAAAGGCUCAACCUUUGAAAGCCGAUGGAUACUGCCGGGCUGGAGUCCGGAAGAGGCGAGUGGAAUUCCUGGUGUAGCGGUGGAAUGCGCAGAUAUCGGGAGGAACACCAAUAGCGAAGGCAGCUCGCUGGGACGGUACUGACGCUGAGGCGCGAAAGCGUGGGGAGCGAACAGG